rnacentral:rRNA from 1 species
GAUGUAACGCUACGCGUACGAGGCUUAACACAUGACAAGUCGAGGGGCAGCGAGGGGAUUUAGGCUUAGGCUAAAUCCGCUGGCGACCGGCGCACGGGUGCGUAACGCGUAUCCAACUUUCCCGUUACUCAGGGAUAGCCUUCCGAAAGGGAGAUUAAUACCUGAUGGUGUUUGAAGUUCGCAUGUUCUUCAAACUAAAGAUUUAUCGGUAACGGGUAGGGAUGCGUGACAUUAGAUAGUAGGCGGGGUAACGGCCCACCUAGUCUACGAUGUCUAGGGGUUCUGAGAGGAAGGUCCCCCACACUGGAACUGAGACACGGUCCAG